GUGUUGUAUGAAAGGAGAGAAGGUUAGCACUCCCCUUGACAAGGAUGGAAGAAGCCCUCAGGCCUGACAACACGCAUACGGUUAAGGCACUGCCACCUACUUUGUGGCAUCUAACCACUGUUUUUG
rnacentral:ncRNA from 1 species